rnacentral:lncRNA from 1 species
AUCCUUAUUUUACAGAUGAGAAAAUGAGGGACAGACCCAGAAAGUGACGGAGAUAGACAGUGGACAUGAGAGCCCCAGAUCUUCAUAAUGUCAUAUUGUGUGCCCUUCACACAUCACACUUUCUAAGCAUGGAGAACACACCCUCUAUUUUAUUUAAGAUGCUGAAAUAAACUCUAACUGAAUGCACCAUCUGAGAACACUGAACUGCAUGAAAGAGCAGUGGAGUCCAUUCACAUGAUCCUCUACAGCCCCACUGGGUAAGUCUGAGUGUGAAAUGCCUAGUUACUUAAUAGCUAUCAUGCCAUGAAUUUUGAAUCACCUAUCUUUAAAGAAGCUCAGACUGCUAUAUUUAACAUGGUAAGACCACUCCUCUGCUUGUCUUAGUGUUGUACAUUGCAUUUUAAGGGAAAUUGAAGAACAGAUGGUAUUGCUGAGGCCAUAUCUCAAGGACAGUGGUGGACCUGGGAUCAUGAAUUGGCUCUGCUGGUUCUUGGCUCUUGGUUCAACUCAUUAGCACAUUUUGCCCAUUGCCAAUAUUUCUACCACAGGUACAUGUUCCAUAUAAGCUG